CUUUCCCCUUUUACUUUACCAAUUAGACAUUUCUUGUCUUAAUUGGUCAUUCAGAGGGGGUUACAGCAAUUAUCCUUUUAAAAACCCAGCCAGAUUAUAUUUAAUUGGCUUGGAGCCUGUCAGAGGAAACAGAC